CCCUCUACCCCAGUUUCUUACCAUUAGCUCAUGCUCUCUUUGCCCAAUCCUGCUUCUCCACAACUAUCCACUUGUUCAUCGAACAGCAUAGAAAUACCCAGGUUUCCCCAUUUCUUUGGGUCUUCAUUUCUGAAGGCUUUUGUGUCACAUAAAACUUGUAUUAGCAAGGGACCACUGAGACCCUCACUCCCUCCAGAGCCUACAGAUGAGAUCUGGGACAACCGACAAAAAGCUGGAGAAAGAAUUCUUGCCAAGCCAUCAGCCGUAUCUUUGUAAGCAACUGUUUAAUGUGAUAAAGAAACAAAAGUGAGUUGUAGAGCAGUGGAAAUGAGAGACACCAGGAUGGGACCGUGAAGAAAAACUAACCUGGUACUAGACCUGGAACUCACCUUGUAUAAAGUGAGCUUGAACAGGACACUUCACCUCUUUGGACUUUCGUUUCCUUCUUCAUAACAUGGGGUCAAGAUGAGGUCACUAAGCUUUCAUAAGGUAAAAUUGUCACUGUACUCUUUUUGCCCACUUUCACUUCCUCAUGUCUCAGAAGAAGAGCAGCAGCCCCUUCUUCAUUCUAAGACUUUCUCUUCCAUUUGAGACCCAAGUUCAUUCUCUCUGGCUUCCAUCAGGAUGUUAUUUUUUCUCUUGACUCUUUAAUUCCUUUUUUUUUUAUUAGCUUCUUCCCUUUUUCUGCCAAAAGCCAAGCUUCUGGUUCACCGUCAAGAAUCACUAAUAGGCCAGGUACGGUGGCUCACACCUGUAAUCCCAGCACUCUUGGAAGCUGAGAUGGGCAGAUAACUUGAGGUCAGAAGUUUGAGACCAGCAUGGCCAACAGGCAAAAUUCUGUCUCUACUAAAAUUACAAAAAUUCACCAGGUGUGGUGGUGCAUGCCUGUAAUCCCAGCUACUUGGAAGGCUGAGGCAUGAGAAUCACUUGAACCCAGGUGGCAGAGGUUGCAGUGAGCCAAGAUCAUGCCACUGCACUUCAGCCUGGGUGACAGAGAAAGACUGUCAAAACAACAACAACAACAACGACCAGUGACAGUUGAGUUCUGUGGCUUCUUUUUCCACAAUCCAACUAGUAGAUUGCCAACUGAUUCCACAUCCCUUCUUCACAGUAGAUCCAUUUGAAACCACCGCAACUUUCAAGAGACUGGGAAAACAGAAAUCAGAGAUUCUGAUGGCUCAAUAAAGACUCAAGGAAACAUUCUGUUUUCAGAAGCACAUGUGUUGGAAAUGAAUUAACACAGCAGCAUUACAAGGUAUAGUAAUCAAUAUAUAAUUGUGUUUAAUUACUUGUUUGAAGCAGACCAUAUUUCU
rnacentral:lncRNA from 1 species